CUUUCACUCUCUAUUGUACCUAAGAUAUACCUCCCUGUACUCUUCAGGCACGUUCAAACCCCCACCCAUCUUGCAAUUGCUAACAGAAACUCAGCUGCUUUCAAGACAACUUUCCCUGUUCCUAAUAACUUCAGGUGAACUUCUGCUGAAUUCUGCUGUCAUUCCUUCCUUCUGCUAUGUGUCAUUAUGGAAGCUGUAGGACAUGAAGCCGGAAAUCCCAGAAUCUGAGUCUUUGAGUAUGCUCAGCGCGAGCCAUCAUGGGGCCAUGUUCUUCCCCUUUGCUCUUGGAGAAUAGACAAAGCUACCCAGCCCAGCCACAGCCUCAUAAUCUUGUUCUACCUCCCUCUCCAGCCUCAAAUAUUUCCAGGCUCCAGCUCAAGUCAUACAUCAGCCCAGCUGCCAAUGUUGCUGACCAGCAAGCCCUCAGCCUACAAGGUCUCCAUCCAGGUGCCUUUUGAUGAGGUUCCAGCUUUCAGAAAAAAAUGACCUUGAAGGCCAGGAUGACAGGAACAAAUUCCAAAGCUAAUGGAUGACCCUUGAGUCCUCCACUGGCCAGAGAAAGGGACUCUCAGAGCCUUAAUUUAAUAGCUCCAGCUUGCAUUCACUAAAGCCUCAAGCAGCUACAACAGAUGUCUCAAGAUUUCCAAAAAGAGCUGUUGGUAAAUCUGAUCUAUCCACUGACGUAAUUAUGCUCAUUCUAGCAAAGAAAAACAUAUAUUUGUUUCAAAGAACGUCCAUCAGGGAGUGUGCAGC
rnacentral:lncRNA from 1 species